rnacentral:rRNA from 14 species
UGCGGUGGUAAGUGGUUAAUGACCAUGAUGCCGGGGGGAAACCCCAGAAGUCACUGACACCGGGAGGCAAGAAAAUUCUGUAGAACGUUGAAGCACACCGCCCGUACCACAAACCGACACAGGUAGAUAGGUUGAGAAUACCAAGACGAACGGGAGAACCUUUGUUAAGGAACUAGGCAAAAUGGUCCCGUAACUUCGGGAGAAGGG